CAAUUUCUGGCUCUGUUUCAGAAUCUGGCUGCAGUGCAUUUGCUAUUUGAUAUUUGAGAUAUGUACAACAUGUUCACAGUGAAUUCUCCAACUGAAAACAGUAGAGUUCAAAUAAAGUCAAUUAAUUCACAGAGUGAAUGGAUUGAAGCCCAGAAUUGCAUGUCUUGUAGAGGCCUUUUUGAUUCACUUGCCAAAAGAUAUCUGUUUAUAAAUGCAGGAAGCAUAACUAUUUGGUACUUAUGGCGGUUAAAACCUGAUGUGAUUUUUUUCUCCGUGUUAUGGCUGAUCUCAAAUAAUUGAACUAUAGUUUACACAUAUUUCAAACAUUUUUUCUUGUACCCUCUCCUGUAAUAUUUAGUCGUGUUCUUCCUGCUUUAACAUAUACAUCUUCUCUUCCUAAUUUUCUGUUUCAUUCUCUCUCUCACUUCCACCUGCCUCCUUCAUCCCUCUACCUGUUUCCUUUUGUCCUUCCAAAUUCUUCUUCCUGUUUCCUUUUUUCCUUCCAAGUUCUUCUUCCAGUUCUUCUACUCUCCAAGUGUCCUUCUUUACCUUACCCUCUUCUUCCCUUUCCUUCUUCCUUCCCUCUCUCCAGACCUCAUCAGUUGGGAUCCCUGAAAGUGCUCACCUGCAGGUUCAUGAAAUAGGUUUCUCUGAGCACAGCAGAAGCCUCAUUCUCCUUGCUCUUCUGUUCCCACAAAUCCUCUCCUAUAGCAUGGUUGGGGGUGGCUCUUGGUAAUAUGUGCUCACUGAGGCCCUGGCAGUUACCUAACUUGUCUAUAUGCCUUGGCCCUGUACUAAUAGCUGUUUGUUGUCUGUGUGUUUGAUGGUGUGCUUAUGUUGGUUUCCUCCUUUUUGCUCCAGGCCCAUGCUAUGUUUUCAUUCAGUUUCUUUCACUGGUUUUAAUGAUUCCUACUGUUUCAUAAGCCAUCUUAAUGGCAGUUUUGCCUAGAAAUUUUCCCAGUACUUCUCAUUUUGUUCAUUCUGUAUGCUUAAUAUUAAUGGACCUGAGUUCCCAGAUUAGUACAAUUAAUAUCUUGUAAGUUAUUGUGAGCUUUCAAUAACAAGAUUUGUCAAAUUUCCCUGUAAAGCACAAAAACCUAAAUAAUAACAGCUAAUACUGACAAACAGAAAACUGUAUUUCAGGAUCUUCUUUAAACAUAUUAUAUGCCUUUCUCAGUGUAAAUUAUCAUAGCUUUCUAUUGGCAGAAAUUAGUAUUCUACCAUUUUAUAGAUGAGUUUUAUUAUCUACACUUUACAUUUAAAAAACUGAAGUCCAGAGAAAUGAUGCCUUUGCUUAAGGUCACGUAGCUAGGAUCUAAUAAUGCUAGUUUUCUCUUGAAAAGAUUUUUGGUAGCAUAUGGAUAAAAACACAAAGGAUGGAGGAUCAGAAAUAUGUGUUAAGCUCAUAUCUACACCCAGGAACCUAAUACUUGCCUCAGAAUGAGAGUUUACCAGAAUAGAAGAGCAUGACUACCACCCCAAACUGCUAGGCUAAAAAACACUAAGUAACAAGUGACAUGUAAGAGAUAGACUCUAUAUAAGGUGCAGCAUAUGGAGAAAAUCAAAAUUUGAGGGUGAGGUAGACAUUGAAAAGCAAACCUUCUGACAAACCAGCCCCCACCUUAAAACAAACAAGAUAACCAAAACAAAACAAUUUCUCACCCCAAAAGAAAACACCUUGGCAUAUCAUAUUCAAACUGCUGAAAACAAAGGAAAAUGGGAAAAUACUGAAGUUAGUCAGAGAAAAAUAGUCAUGUUACAUAGGGAGGAACAAAAAAUAAGAAUUAUGGCAGAGCAUUCAAGACCCAUGUACACUGGACGAUAAUGGAAUAACAUCUUUAAGUGCUGAGAGGAAACACAAGAGGACUUCCAUAAUCCACCGUGGUGGAGUAACUGAGAGUAGAUUUGCUUUUCCACAAAAAACAAGGAGGGAACUGGACAAAAUACAUGACAUAAUUUUUCACACAUUGGACAACAGGUAUUGCAGGAUGGUAAUCUCUGAGAGAAGGGGAACAAUAAGGCAUGCAAUGAAAGAGCAAGUUUUGGUAAUCAGAAGAAAAAUUAGUCAAUAGGAACAGAACCAGAAAUGACAGACAUGAAUCUUAAAACAGCUUUUAUUAUUAAAUUGUUAAAUGUUAAAAUAUGCUCAAGGACUUAAAAAUAUGAAUAACAUGAAGAAAUGGAUGAUAGACAUAAAAAUAAUGAAAUAAAACAUCAAGAGUUGAAAAGGAAAAUACAAUUUAAAAUCAAAACAAGAUACUACUACAUAUUCAUUAGAAUGCCUAACAUUUAAAAGACUGCAAAACCAUGUGUUGGUAUUAAAUGCUGGAACCAGAACACAGGUGGUGGAAAUGAAGUAGCCUGGAUAUAUCCCGAACCUAAUGUCGAGAUAAAAUCUUUAAUGGCAAAAACAGCAAUUACUUUUGCACCAACCUAACGGAAUGAAAUUUCUUGUUGGCUGUUAAUACAGCAUGGAUGAGUCUCUCAAUUGGAAGGCAACAAGCUAAGUAAGCUAAGUUUCCAGGUUCCUUUUCUUGUAAGAUUCUCUAAUUCUGUGCAGGCAGCCAACAUGGGAAUAAGCAAUUACCUUUGGACCUUUCACACUGAGCAUAGAGAUUUUUGCCCAACCUUUGAAGUUUAGCUUAGCAAAGUUGUAACAAUCAUGUGAAAGAUGUUUGGUGGGUAUUUGAAUAGUUGCUGGGAUCUCAGACACAAGUGUGUCAUUAAGGAAUUCACAGCUUAAUAGGGACAACAGACUCUAAAAGAUUUGAAUAUGUUGUCACAUGUACUAAACCUGAGGGCUCUGAGAGUACAGGGGAAGCCUCCUAACUUGAACUGGUGGUGAAAACUAAUUCAAAGAAGGCUUCCAAGAGGUAAGUCUUCCUGGUGAAGAAAAUGAGAAGGGUGCCUCAUGGGAGUCAUCUUCACAUUGGGAGGGAUUAGUUAGAACCCUGGAAGACGCACAUAGAAAUAGUUAAUUAACAUGAUCAUUUUUUAGUCUCUAUCCUUCUCAACUUGACUUCAUAAGAGCACUGGUGUUUUGAGAGGUGUUCAUAGGUAUUGCGUUCUAAAAAGAAAGCAAAAUAAAACCACACUCGAACACAGGGGUUAAACACAAGAUUGAACAAAAUAAAAACCUUUUUAUUACAGACUUUCUCAGAGCAUUUGAUUUACUAAUGGGAAAUAUUAGAUGAAUAUAAUUAAUAUAUGCAUCAUAUGAAUAUAAUUACAUGUAUUAGAUGAAUAUAAAUACAGCGUAUAGCAGUUUCCAGACUUAUGUGACCACAGAACACUUUUUUUUUUUUUUUUUUUUGGUAGAAUCCCUGUGAAUACCUCAACUGUGUGUUCUGGGAAGUUUAGAAAACAUUAUAUCCUAUUCAUUUCUUAACUUUCUCUGUUGGCAUCUGUCAAGGAUAUUGAAAAGAUAUGUUCAUGUUCAACUUUUCCUGGUUCUCAUUUGGACUCUUUCUCAGAUGACCAAAAUCUCAUGCUAAAUUGAUUUCAGACUCCGAUAGGAGAAAAUCUAUCAUUUCCCCCAGUAUUGCAGCAAUCACACCACAGCCUGGAGCUGAUUAGUCUGCUCAGUGCCACAGCCUCAGCCAGGCCAGGCCAGGGGCUGGGAGCUUUCCAAGCUGACCAUCACUCCCAGAUCAAAUUCAUCUCCUCCGAGCUCAGCCUGCUCCCAUGCUCAAAAUCUCAAGAAUCUACCCAUGUAGCGUUCCUUCCCUUUCUCUUUGGAACCAUGGAGCUCCACUGGAAAGGAACCUGGGUACCUGACACCUUGGAAGGGUCCUGACAUUUGUUCCUUUCCAACUGAAAGUCUUCCUUGAGGGGUGGAGCAAACUGAAGGCCCCCGCUAGCCCCACGUAUUGCCCAAAGACUCUCUGAGGCUCUGUGCUGCUUACUUCCUACCAGGCAGAGAUUACUAGCCUCCUCAGCAGAUGAAAAAACGAAAGCUCAGAGCGGUAAGAUCAUUUGUCCAAGGUCUCAGAGUGGCGGAACUGGCAGUGGACACGACUAAGAUGACCCCAAGAGCCUGCACUGUCAGUCGUCACCCCGUAUUGUCUCUUGGUGCCAAACCUGCAUGACAUCCCAGUGCUAGUUUUGAGAGAGAACCCUCUUCCCUCUUCCCAUUUGCAUGCCUCACACUGUAGUUUAGAAUGCCUUCUUUCUUUUGCUUUGAUUCCCCCCCCAACCCUUUCUGGAAAGGAUAAUCUCCAAGAAAUUCCCUUAGGAUAUCUCACGUCAUUCCUAGUCUAAAUUCUUCGAAGUGAAGAAGCGUUUUGAGAUUCGGUGAUUAUUUUCAGCAUCACAUUAGGAUGUGCCCUCCAAAUUUAGUGUGUGAGACUAAUGUCCCCAAGUGUGCAUUCUGAACAUUGUUAUAGCAUGCCCCUGUGUACACCCUGUGAACAUUCCCGACAGUAUCCUCUUGCAAUCCCCACAUACUAGCUUUCAGAUAUUCCAAAAUGUAACCAAAAUGAAUUGCUUAAUUGGAUGGAUAUUAGUAUUUUUCACUUGAUAAAAACCAUGUCUGCAAAGCACCUUAGUGUGUUGUUGUAACUUAGUUUAUUAUUAUUGCUGAUAAGGAUAAUAAACAUUUCUGAUGGUAAAAAUGAACACAUUCUUCAUGUACUUCUAGGUCAGAAACCUCUGCUAUUAAUCAGAUCCUUCUGAGUAGUUUCAUAUCUAGUUUUGAUCCCUAUGCCAUAUCCUUAGAGAAAAAACAUGUACUUUUAAUUUGGUCAUGAAAGUUACUGUUUGAAUAGAUUUUUUAAGACUUUAGGCAUUCUGGUUAUUUAAAUUGACUCAGACAGUAUAAACUAGACUCCCUGACAUUCCUGGGCCUUCAAGACUCAAUGGCUUCUGGUAAGCAGCCACUCAGGCCUCCAGUUGGCCUUAACUAAGUCAGCCCCAACACACCAGUUCCUUAGAAUUACAUGCAAGGUCAUAGGAUUUCAAUUAAAAAAAUACUUUAACACGAGGCCAGAAUACCUAUGGCUGUAACCUGCUCUUGAAUAAACUUUCUCCCUGUCAUUUUUUUGUGUGUGUGAAAUACUUUACUCUUUUUAUAGAUCUUGGUCUUUUGCAAUCAUACAGGAUUCUAUUUGUUGAGUACCUUCUUUGCAUUGGAAAUUUGAAUUUCUUUUUACCCUUACAGUAUACCUAUAAGGCAAAUAUCAUCAACUUCAUUUUACAGAUGAACAAUAAGUUACUAGUGAACUGGUGAUGAAAAUUAAAGAAGGCUUUUGAACAUGAAUAUACCUUUUCAAUAUCCUUGACAGAUGCCAACAGAAAAAGUUAAGAAAUGAAUAGGAUACAAUGUUUUCUAAACUGUUCCCAUAACACAUAGUUGGGUAUUUGCAGGGACUUAUUAUUCAGUUAGAACAAUAAGUGACUUAUUGAUUAACUGCUUCUAAAUGAUAUAAAUAGGGUUUAAACUAGUAUUUAUCAUGUAUACACAAUAAAGAUUUAUUGUUAACAUAAAUUGAGCAUUUAUCAUAUUCUAAUCACUGUUCCAUUAGAUUGAACCACAUAAAAUUGCUGCUCUUUCACCUAUCAAAUGGCAAUUUCAUGUGGUUUAACCUAAUAGUUGUCUCAUUUGAUUUCAACAAUAGCCUUAGAUGCAACUGUUUUUAAUGUCAUUUGUAGAAGAGGAAAUGGAAGCUCAGCAAGAUUAAAUAAUGUGCACAGAAUUAAGCAGUCAAUAAGGGGGACUUCUCCCCCAACCUCAAACCAAGCAAUUCUUCUUCACCAUGAAGUGGUGACUCUGAUGAAGUGAUGUGACACUUUUAUUGUCUCCAGUGAUGGUAAUUUUGAGUUUAUUAGUUCAGUCACUUCAUUCAGUAUACUGAGCACAUACUGUAGAUGUGAAUCAUAUGUAUUCAGCCUUUGAAAGAACAGAAAGGUGGAAAAUCAAGCUAGUUAGCCAGAGUUGGGUUUUACAAAAACAGUGAAACAAAACCAUCUGAAACUGAUUUUUUUUUCAUUAUCUAUGCAGGUAGGUCUUGAAGAUUGUUUCUUAAGUUCUCAGAGGUUGGUUAUUACUGGAAAAAAUUAAGUGUUGAUUUCUAAAGUAACUGGACCCUUUGGAUAGUGUAGGUUCUUGUGUGUUUGUUCAGUCGUUACUUUCAUUGUACCCUCUGCCUGGGAUGCUUUGUUCCUAAUCACAAGAUCUUUUAAGUCUUACCUCUGCGGUCACUCUUUCUGUAGGGAUCCUUCAUUAUUUUCCCUCUGUAAAUGAACUGUCCCUCAUUUUGGCUCUCAUUGCAGUUGUUUUCACUUUUCGUAUGUCACCAGUCUCCUUUCCUAAAUUAUGUUUUAUUAUCCAUUCAUCUAUUCACCCAUCCAUCCAUCCAUUCACCCAUCCAUCCAUCCAUCAUACUACACAUCUAUAAAUUUCUAGUCAGUGUUAGGGGCCCUGAAGUUGUAGGGGUGAAAUGAUACAGUUUCCACCCUCAGAGGCUUAAUGGGGAGACAGAGAAACAAACAGAACAUUUCAGUCAACUAUAGGUCUCCUUAUUCCAGCUCUAACUCAUCUGAAAAUGCACUCCUAUCAGUGACAGUUGCUCAUGAUGGCUGUGAUUCUGGUGGAUGAUAAAGAUUGGUGGGGAGAUAAAAGAGAGAAAGGAAGAAAUAUGCUCCCUGUGCUCCAGAAUGGGGUUGGGAAACACAUGAUGCAUGUCUCUCCAGCCCACUCCAGCCUCCUGAGCUGAGGAUCAGCAAGACAGAUUAUGCAGUGCGUCUUUGCAACAGAGAGGAGGUCUGCUCAUCCCACAUUUGGAGCACCCGUGGGUGGAGCAGGGAAGAUUUCUGGGAAACAGUGUUUGAAUUGAAUCAUGAAAAUGAGUAGGAGUCUGCUACAUGGGUAAGGGAGGGAAGAAAAGUCAGUAGAGAAGGUAGGCAGUGCUUGCAAAGGCCUGAGGUAAGAGAUAGCAUGCUGUGUGUCCACGCACGUGUGUGUAUGUGUGUGUGUGUGUCUAUAAGAAGUCUGCUAUGGCUACUUUAAGAUGAAAAGUGGAAUUUGGCAGGAAUUGAGUGGUCAAGAGCAAGCAGUGAGAUAAUGACAUUUUUCAAAAAGAUAGCAGUUUGGAGAAUGGGGAACGCAUAUCUUACAUCCAUCAUUAGACUGUGAUCUGCUUGAGGGUGGAGAUUUUAACCCUGCUUAUAUCCUGGUAUGCCAAGCUCCUAGAAUAUCACUCCACACGCUUUGGAAUUGCACUAUAGCCUGGAUAUCACAUUUCUUUCAUUCUGAGGUGGCUGGCUUGAGGAGAAUGAAUGUCAGGAGAAUAUUGCUAGUUUUUAGGGGAGACACAGGGGAAAGAGAGGCACUGGGAUAUGAGUGAGAGGAGUCUUUGAAAGAAAAAUGAGGCUUAAAUCCAUUAUCACCAGCAUUAAAAUACAGCAUUUCUUCUCUGAAUAGUAUUUGUUCCUGUUUACUUUCUUCCUUGUGGCAUUGAGCUGGGCUGCAUUUGCCAUUUAGGCAUAAUUACUAUUUUAUUAUUAUUUUUUUUCACAGUUAAGUGGAGCAUUUGAGCACAGCUGAAUUGCUGGGAGCCUCGGUGGAAGAAAUCUAUUAGUGAUACGGCUUGAAACAAUACACAAAAGGCCGCUGCGUGUGGUCUGCCCUCCACGCUUUCAACUUCCUUAUGUGGAACAAUAAAUCUCCGAGUCAGCUAGAACGCAGAGACUCCCAUCCAA
rnacentral:lncRNA from 1 species